rnacentral:tRNA from 1 species
GGGCUCAACCGGGGAUUGAACCCGGGACCUCCUGCAUAUGAGCUCCACCCAAAGCAGGAAUCAUACCGCUAGACCAUUGAGCC